GGGAGCCGUAUGAAGCGAGAGUUUCACGUACGGUUCUGCGAGAGGCUGUCGGGGAGGUUCCGGUGGCCUACUCACUU
rnacentral:ncRNA from 1 species